rnacentral:rRNA from 1 species
AACGAACGCUGGCGGCAUGCCUAAUACAUGCAAGUCGAACGAGAUCUUCGGAUCUAGUGGCGCACGGGUGCGUAACGCGUGGGAAUCUGCCCUUGGGUUCGGAAUAACUUCUGGAAACGGAAGCUAAUACCGGAUGAUGACGUAAGUCCAAAGAUUUAUCGCCCAAGGAUGAGCCCGCGUAGGAUUAGGUAGUUGGGGAGGUAAAGGCUCACCAAGCCGACGAUCCUUAGCUGGUCUGAGAGGAUGAUCAGCCACACUGGGACUGAGACACGGCCCAGACGCCUACGGAGAGGAGCAGUAGGGAAUAUUGGACGAUGGGCGAAAACCUGAUCCAGCAAUGCCGCGUGAGUGAUGAAGGCGUUAGGGUUGUAAAGCUCUUUUACCCGGGAUGAUAGUGACGGUACCGGGAGAAUAAGCUCCGGCUAACUCCGUG